rnacentral:rRNA from 1 species
CCUACGGGAGGCAGCAGUGAGGAAUAUUGGUCAAUGGACGAGAGUCUGAACCAGCCAAGUCGCGUGAAGGAUGAAUGCCCUAUGGGUUGUAAACUUCUUUUGUAAGGGAGUAAAACGAGGCACGUGUCCCUUUUUCCAUGUACUUUAUGAUUCAGGCUCGGCUAACUACGUGCCAGCAGCCGCGGUUAUCCGGAGGAUCCGAGCGUUAUCCGGAUUUAUUGGGUUUAAAGGGUUCGUAGAUGGGUGGUGAAGUCAGGUGUGAAAGUUGGCGGCUCAACCCUAAAAUUGCAAUUGAUACUGGAAGGCUUGAGUGCAGGAGAGGUAGGCGGAAUUCGUGGUGUAGCGGUGAAAUGCUUAGAUAUCACGAAGAACCCCGAUUGCGAAGGCAGCUUACUAGACUGUAACUGACGUUGAUGCUCGAAAGUGUGGGUAUCAAACAGGAUUAGAUACCCCAGUAGUC